rnacentral:rRNA from 1 species
AGAGUUUGAUCAUGGCUCAGGACUAACGCUGGCGGCGUGCCUAACACAUGCAAGUCGAGCGGGGUAGCAAUACCCAGCGGCAGACGGGUGAGUAACGCGUGGUCAACCUUCCCGACAGUGGGGGAUAACUAGCCGAAAGGUUAGCUAAUACCGCAUACGAUCUAUGAGAGGCAUCUCUUAUAGAUGAAAGGAGCAAUCCGCUUUCGGACGGGACCGCGUCCCAUUAGCUAGAUGGUGGGGUAAUGGCCUACCAUGGCGACGAUGGGUAGCUGGUUUGAGAGAGCGACCAGCCACACUGGGACUGAGAAACGGCCCAGACUCCUACGGGAGGCAGCAGUGAGGAAUUUUCCGCAAUGGGCGAAAGCCUGACGGAGCGACGCCGCGUGUGGGAAGAAGGCCUUCGGGUCGUAAACCACUGUCGAAGGGGACGAUAAUGACGGUACCCUUGGAGGAAGCCCCGGCUAACUACGUGCCAGCAGCCGCGGUAAUAC